rnacentral:snRNA from 1 species
AUCGCUUCUCAGCCUUUUGGCUAAGAUCAAGUGUAGUAUAUUGCAUACCUGAAACUAAUAUAACACUGUAUGUUAACUAUA